rnacentral:lncRNA from 1 species
AUGCACGGCUCCAAGAGUUCUUCCUUCUUCUCCUUUGCAAACUCACGGCACAAGAGGUAUAUUUGGGUGAAUGGUGUAGUGAAAAUAUGGUAGAGGAUGGUAACUAAAUGGUGCAGCAAAGGAUGGUAUUUAUAGGCUGAAAUUCGCAGUCCCUAUGUAGCAAAGGAAAAGGAUUUAAAAGCCUAAUUUGUAUAGGAUAAUAA